GGCAUAUUUCAACAGAGAGUUAUUAACCUGAAAUGGCAGGCUAUAAUGGACAUGGAGAACAAAAGAGAAGAAGCCAUGUUGAUUGUGUGCCCACUCUGAUUAUAUAGAGAUGAUAGGUAGAACCACCUCUAUUCACCUUUGCACUUUCUUGAAAAGAAGCAAUUCAAACAGUCUUGCUCAAAGAUGUGUCAGA